UGAAUACGAGAUGCUACGGCAUCGAAGCAGUCUAUGUCAUACUUCCAAGAAAAGCUUGCACUGUCAUAAACAAAUAAUGCCUGUACCAUAACCGACACAGGUGGGUAGGUAGAGUAUACUAAGGGGCGCGAGAUAACUCUCUCUAAGGAACUCGGCAAAAUGACUCCGUAACUUCGGGAGAAGGGGUGCCUUAUUUUAUAAGGUUGCAUAACAAGAUCCAAGCAACUGUUUACCAAAAACACAGGUCUCCGCUAAGUCGUAAGACGAUGUAUGGGGGCUGACGCCUGCCCAGUGCCAGAAGGUUAAAGAAGUUGGUUAGCAUUAGCGAAGCUGAUAACUGAAGCCCUGGUGAACGGCGGCCGUAACGAUAACGGUCCUAAGGUAGCGAAAUUCCUUGUCGGGUAAGUUCCGACCCGCACGAAAGGCGUAAUGAUUUGGAUACUGUCUCGGAGAGGGGCUCGGUGAAAUAGACUUGUCUGUGAAGAUGCGGACUACCUGCACCAGGACAGAAAGACCCUAUGAAGCUUUACUGUAACUUGAGAUUGAAAUUGGACUUUAUUUGCGCAGUAUAGGUGGGAGACGUUGAAAAUAUUCUUGCGGGAAUAUUGGAGUCAUCAGUGAGAUACCACUCUUAUAAUGUUAGAUUUCUAACUUUGUAUCAUUAUCUGGUCAAAGAACAGUCUCAGGCGGGCAGUUUGACUGGGGCGGUCGCCUCCCAAACGGUAACGGAGGCGCACAAAGGUUUCCUCUGAACGUGUAGAAAUCGUAUCUAGAGUGUAAAGGCAUAAGGAAGCUUGACUGUGAGACCUACAAGUCGAGCAGGGACGAAAGUCGGUCUUAGUGAUCUGACGGUGCUGAGUGGAAAGGCCGUCACUCAACGGAUAAAAGUUACUCUAGGAUAACGGGCUGAUCUCCCCCAAGAGCUCACAUCGACGGGGAGGUUUGGCACCUCGAUGUCGGCUCAUCGCAUCCUGGGGCGGUAGUACGUCCCAAGGGUUGGGCUGUUCGCCCAUGAAAGCGGUACGCGAGCUGGGUUCAGAACGUCGUGAGACAGUUCGGUCCAUAUCCGGUGUAGGCGUUAGAAUAUUGAGAGGAGCCUUCUUUAGUACGAGAGGACCGAGAAGGACAUACCUCUGGUGUACCAGUUAUCGUGCCAACGGUAAACGCUGGGUAGCUAUGUAUGGAGAGGAUAACCGCUGAAAGCAUCUAAGUGGGAAGCCCACCUCAAGAUAAGUAUUCU
rnacentral:rRNA from 1 species